rnacentral:rRNA from 1 species
CCUACGGGAGGCAGCAGUGAGGAAUAUUGGUCAAUGGACGAGAGUCUGAACCAGCCAAGUAGCGUGAAGGAUGACUGCCCUAUGGGUUGUAAACUUCUUUUAUAUGGGAAUAAAAUGUUCCACGUGUGGGAUUUUGUAUGUACCAUAUGAAUAAGGAUCGGCUAACUCCGUGCCAGCAGCCGCGGUACUACGGAGGAUCCGAGCGUUAUCCGGCUUUAUUGGGUUUAAAGGGAGCGUAGGUGGAUUGUUAAGUCAGUUGUGAAAGUUUGCGGCUCAACCGUAAAAUUGCAGUUGAAACUGGCAGUCGUGAGUACAGUAGAGGUGUGCGGAAUUCGUGGUGUAGCGGUGAAAUGCUUAGAUAUCACGAAGAACUCCGAGUGCGAAGGCAGCUCACUGGACUGCAACUGACACUGAGGCUCGAAAGUGUGGGUAUCAAACAGGAUUAGAUACCCUGGUAGUC